rnacentral:rRNA from 1 species
AUUGAACGCUGGCGGCAGGCCUAACACAUGCAAGUCGAGCGAGCGGCGGACGGGUGAGUAAUGUCUGGGAAACUGCCUGAUGGAGGGGGAUAACUACUGGAAACGGUAGCUAAUACCGCAUACCAUCAGAUGUGCCCAGAUGGGAUUAGCUAGUAGUUGGGGUAACGGCUCACGUAGGCGACGAUCCCUCGCUGGUCUGAGAGGAUGACCAGCCACACUGAAACGGAGACACGGUCCAGACGCUUACGGGAGGCAGCAGUGGGGAAUAUUGCGAAAUGGGCGCAAGCCUGAUGCAGCCAUGCCGCGUGUGUGAAGAAGGCCUUCGGUUUGUAAAGCUAUUUCAGCGGGGAGGCGUUACCUGCAGAAGAAGCACCGGCUAACUCCGUGCCAGCAGCCGCGGUAAUAC